UCUGGAGCAGAGCCCAACUGGGGAAGUACCUCCACCUUACAGAAAACUGCAGCCAAGUAACACUAGACCCUACUAAUAGUGUUGUGUUCCUGCCGGUGAGUAAGGUUGCCAGAGCUCAACGAGGGUUCGGAAUGUUAGGGUCGGCAACGCGCAUGUAACACCUCUGGAGUUGCAGGCGUCCAUAGGCUACGGUGACUGCUUGCUAUCAGACGGGUCGUAUGCUUGUUUACCACCGACUUAGUAUAAAAA